rnacentral:pre_miRNA from 1 species
AGUGAAAUUACUGGGCUAUGUGUUAACUCUAUGUUAACUUUUUAGGUAACUGUUAAAUUGUUUUCCAAAGUGACUGUACCAUUUUACAUUCCCAUCAGCGAU